AACUCCGAAUACCAACACGUGAUACACGGGAGACACACAGCGGGUGCUAACGUCCGUUGUGAAAAGGGAAACAACCCAGACCCGCAGCUAAGGUCCCCAAGUCAUAGCUAAGUGGAAAACGAUGUGGAAAGGCAUAGACAGCCAGGAGGUUGGCUUAGAAGCAGCCACCCUUUAAAGAAAGCGUAAUAGCUCACUGGUCGAGUCGGUCUGCGCGGAAGAUUUAACGGGGCUAAGCUAUGCACCGAAGCUCGGGGUGCACCUCUUUGAGAGGUGUGCGGUAGAGGAGCGUUCCGUAGGCCUGUGAAGGUGGAUUGUAAAGUCUGCUGGAGGUAUCGGAAGUGCGAAUGCUGACAUGAGUAACGAUAAGGGGGGUGAAAAGCCUCCCCGCCGAAAGCCCAAGGUUUCCUCGCGCAACGUUCAUCGGCGCAGGGUGAGUCGGCCCCUAAGGCGAGGCAGAAAUGCGUAGUCGAUGGGAAGCAGGUUAAUAUUCCUGCACUUUUCUUAAGUGCGAUGUGGGGACGGAGAAGGUUAGGUCUACCAGGCGUUGGUUGUCCUGGGGAAAGGAGGUAGGCGGUGAUCUUAGGCAAAUCCGGGAUCACUUACGCCGAGCACCGAGACGAGUCCUAUGAGGACGAAGUGACUGACACCACGCUUCCAGGAAAAGCCACUAAGCUUCAGCUUAAGAAAAACCGUACCGCAAACCGACACAGGUAGGCAGGGUGAGAAUCCCAAGGCGCUUGAGAGAACUCGGGUGAAGGAACUAGGCAAAAUGGCACCGUAACUUCGGGAGAAGGUGCGCCCUUUGGUGUGGUCACGUGCGUGACUGAGCAUUGAAGGGUCGCAGUAACCUGGCCGCUGCGACUGUUUAUCAAAAACACAGCACUCUGCAAACACGAAAGUGGACGUAUAGGGUGUGACGCCUGCCCGGUGCUGGAAGGUUAAUUGAUGGGGUCAGCCGCAAGGCGAAGCUCUUGAUCGAAGCCCCAGUAAACGGCGGCCGUAACGAUAACGGUCCUAAGGUAGCGAAAUUCCUUGUCGGGUAAGUUCCGACCUGCACGAAUGGCGUAACGACAGCGGCGCUGUCUCCACCCGAGACUCAGUGAAAUUGAAAUCGCUGUGAAGAUGCAGCGUUCCCGCGGCAAGACGGAAAGACCCCGUGAACCUUUACUAUAGCUUUACACUGAACGUUGAGUUCUUCUGUGUAGGAUAGGUGGGAGGCUAUGAAACCAGGACGCUAGUUCUGGUGGAGCCAUCCUUGAAAUACCACCCUGAAGUGCUUGACGUUCUAACCUAAAAG
rnacentral:rRNA from 1 species